GCUAUUAAUUUUAUAAGUCAUUCCAAACAGCCUCUCACCUGGGUUGCUCCACCUCCCCCAACAGCAGCUGGUGGUGGAGCACCCUUUUAGCUGAUGAGAAGCCCUCAAUCACUGCCAGCUGCACGCUGCCCCUGAACUCCAUCUUGCAACUCCCACCUUCCCAGAAGAUGUUACACAGCCGUGCUUUAGUGAGCUAUCAAUUAAGGGAAUGUAGCUAUCCUAAGGUGUGUCUGAGGAAGGUUCUGCCCCCACCCCGUUUCCUUAGCACUGUACUACACGUUUUUAUGAAGCUUGCAACCUGAAUGCUUCUUGAGUUGCAGGCUCUGACUCCUCAGCGGACACAAGGGGUGAGCCCAGCUCCCUGCAGCAGCCCCAUGUAGGGUGCUGGGAGACAAGUGGCCACCAAAUGGCUCUUGAAGAGCACCUGGAGCUCAAAGCGGUGGGAGAUCACCUGUGCUUGCUCUUUGGUGUGUGGAUGAGCUUCAGACGUAGCAGAGAUAAUUCUUCUGGUGAGCCCUUGGGCCGCCUCUGAGACUCUGGCACUGAAAGAGUGGAGCAACAGGCUGCUAUCCGAGGCAGGGAGAGGUGCACUGUGGCUGAUUAUCUUCCCAUGAAGAACAAGAAAUCUUUUCUGAUGAACAUGAGCCAAGAUCACCUCUGCUUAACCUCAG
ensembl:lncRNA